GAUAAACGCUGGCGGCGCACAUAAGACAUGCAAGUCGAACGGACUUAACCAUUAGUUUACUAUUGGAGUGGUUAGUGGCGGACUGGUGAGUAACACGUAAGCAACCUGCCUAUCAGAGGGGAACAACAGUUAGAAAUGACUGCUAAUACCGCAUAUGCCAUAAUCACCACAUGGUGAUAGUGGGAAAGGAGCAAUCCGCUGAUAGAUGGGCUUGCGUCUGAUUAGAUAGUUGGUGGGGUAACGGCCUACCAAGUCGACGAUCAGUAGCCGAACUGAGAGGUUGAACGGCCACAUUGGGACUGAGAUACGGCCCAGACUCCUACGGGAGGCAGCAGUCGGGAAUAUUGCGCAAUGGAGGAAACUCUGACGCAGUGACGCCGCGUGCAGGAAGAAGGUUUUCGGAUUGUAAACUGCUUUAGACAGGGAAGAACAAAGACAGUACCUGUAGAAUAAGACUCCGGCUAACUACGUAGCCAGCAG
rnacentral:rRNA from 1 species